rnacentral:rRNA from 1 species
CACGUAGGGAGCAAGCGUUGUCCGGAUUUAUUGGGCGUAAAGAGCUCGUAGGCUGUUCGAUAAGUCGGGUGUGAGACCUCCAGGCUCAACCUGGAGACGCCACCCGAUACUGUCAUGACUAGAGUCCGGUAGGGGAGAUCGGAAUUCCUGGUGUAGCGGUGAAAUGCGCAGAUAUCAGGAGGAACACCGGUGGCGAAGGCGGAUCUCUGGGCCUUGCCUGACGCUGAGGCGCGAAAGCUAGGGGAGCGAACAGG